rnacentral:rRNA from 1 species
AGAGUUUGAUCAUGGCUCAGAGUGAACGCUGGCGGCGUGCUUAACACAUGCAAGUCGAACGAGAACGGUACUAGCUUGCUAGUAUGUCAGCUAAGUGGCGGACGGGUGAGUAAUGUAUAGUUAAUCUGCCCUUUAGAGGGGGAUAACAGUUAGAAAUGACUGCUAAUACCCCAUACUCCUUUUGCCUUAAUGGUAAUUGGGAAAUGUUUUUUCGCUAAAGGAUGAGACUAUAUGGUAUCAGGUAGUUGGUGGGGUAAGAGCCUACCAAGCCAAUGACACCUAGCAGGUCUGAGAGGAUGAUCAGCCACACUGGUACUGAGACACGGACCAGACUCCUACGGGAGGCAGCAGUGGGGAAUAUUGCACAAUGGAGGAAACUCUGAUGCAGCAACGCCGCGUGGAGGAUGACGCAUUUCGGUGUGUAAACUCCUUUUAUAUGGGAAGAUAAUGACGGUACCAUAUGAAUAAGCACCGGCUAACUCCGUGCCAGCAGCCGCGGUAAUACGGAGGGUGCAAGCGUUACUCGGAAUCACUGGGCGUAAGGCGCGCGCAGGCGGUUUGAUAAGUUGGAUGUGAAAUCCUAUGGCUCAACCAUAGAACUGCAUCCAAAACUGUCAAACUAGAGUCUGGGAGAGGAAGAUGGAAUUAGUUGUGUAGGGGUAAAAUCCGUAGAGAUAACUAGGAAUACCAAAAGCGAAGGCGAUCUUCUGGAACAGUACUGACGCUGAGGCGCGAAAGCGUGGGGAGCAAACAGGAUUAGAUACCCUGGUAGUCCACGCCCUAAACGAUGAAUGUUAGUCGUUGGAGUCCUAGUGACUUCAGUGAUGCAGCUAACGCAUUAAACAUUCCGCCCUGGGGAGUACGGUCGCAAGAUUAAAACUCAAAGGAAUAGACGGGGACCCGCACAAGUGGUGGAGCAUGUGGUUUAAUUCCGAAGAUACGCCGAAGAACCCUUACCUGGGCCUUGACAUUGAUAGAACCACCCGUAGCAGAUACCAGUGGUGCCCUUUCGGGGAGCCUGCAAAACAAGUGCUGCCACGGGCUGUCGUUCAGCUCAUUCCGUGAGAAUGUGCGCUUAGUUCCCCGCCAACGCCAGCGG